rnacentral:rRNA from 1 species
GAUGAACGCUGGCGGCGUGCCUAAUACAUGCAAGUCGAGCGAACAGACGAGGAGCUUGCUCCUCUGACGUUAGCGGCGGACGGGUGAGUAACACGUGGAUAACCUACCUAUAAGACUGGGAUAACUUCGGGAAACCGGAGCUAAUACCGGAUAGUAUAUUGAACCGCAUGGUUCAAUAGUGAAAGACGGUUUUGCUGUCACUUAUAGAUGGAUCCGCGCCGCAUUAGCUAGUUGGUAAGGUAACAGCUUACCAAGGCAACGAUGCGUAGCCGACCUGAGAGGGUGAUCGGCCACACUGGAACUGAGACACGGUCCAGACUCCUACGGGAGGCAGCAGUAGGGAAUCUUCCGCAAUGGGCGAAAGCCUGACGGAGCAACGCCGCGUGAGUGAUGAAGGUCUUCGGAUCGUAAAACUCUGUUAUUAGGGAAGAACAAAUGUGUAAGUAACUAUGCACGUCUUGACGGUACCUAAUCAGAAAGCCACGGCUAACUACGUG